rnacentral:rRNA from 1 species
CCUACGGGUGGCAGCAGUGGGGAAUAUUGGGCAAUGGGCGCAAGCCUGACCCAGCAACGCCGCGUGAAGGAAGAAGGCUUUCGGGUUGUAAACUUCUUUUCUGAGGGACGAAGAAAGUGACGGUACCUCAGGAAUAAGCCACGGCUAACUACGUGCCAGCAGCCGCGGUAAUACGUAGGUGGCAAGCGUUAUCCGGAUUUAUUGGGUGUAAAGGGCGUGUAGGCGGGAAAGCAAGUUAGAUGGGAAAACUCAGGGCUGAACCCGGAGCCUGCAUUUGAAACUGUUCGUCUUGAGUGCUGGAGAGGCAAGCGGAAUUCGGGGUGUAGCGGUGAAAUGCGUAGAUAUACCGAGGAACACCGGUGGCGAAGGCGGAUUGCUGGACAGUGACUGACGCUGAGGCGCGAAGGCGCGGGGAGCAAACAGGAUUAGAUACCCUGGUAGUC